UACGGGGGGGGGCAAGCGUUGUUCGGAAUUACUGGGCGUAAAGCGUGUGUAGGCGGACUUCUAAGUGCCUUGUGAAAUCCCACGGCUCAACCGUGGAACUGCUGGGCAUACUGGGAGUCUUGGGCCAUUCAGGGGCAACUGGAACAAGCGGUGGAGCGGUGAAAUGCGUAGAUAUCGCUUGGAACGCCGAAGGUGAAAACAGGUUGCUGGGGGAUGUGCCGACGCUGAGACACGAAAGCCAGGGGAGCAAACGGGG
rnacentral:rRNA from 1 species